UAGGGAAUCUUCCAUAAUGGACGAAAGUCUGAUGGAGCAACGCCGCGUGAGUGAAGAAGGGUUUCGGCUCGUAAAACUCUGUUGUUAAAGAAGAACAUAUCUGAGAGUAACUGUUCAGGUAUUGACGGUAUUUAACCAGAAAGCCACGGCUAACUACGUGCCAG
rnacentral:rRNA from 1 species